GCCUUCGUGGUACAACGGUAGCCCACUCGGCUUGUAUUCGAGAGGUCCAGGUUCAAGUCCCGGCGAUGGCA
rnacentral:tRNA from 1 species